rnacentral:rRNA from 1 species
GACGAACGCUGGCGGCGUGCUUAACACAUGCAAGUCGAACGGAAAGGCUCCAGCUUUCUGGAGUACUCGAGUGGCGAACGGGUGAGUAACACGUGGGUGAUCUGCCCUGCACUUCGGGAUAAGCCUGGGAAACUGGGUCUAAUACCGGAUAGGACCGCACUUUGGUGUGUGUGGUGGAAAGGUUUUUCUGGUGUGGGAUGAGCUCGCGGCCUAUCAGUUUGUUGGUGGGGUAAUGGCCUACCAAGACGGCGACGGGUAGCCGGCCUGAGAGGGUGGACGGUCACAUUGGGACUGAGAUACGGCCCAGACUCCUACGGGAGGCAGCAGUGGGGAAUAUUGCACAAUGGGGGAAACCCUGAUGCAGCGACGCCGCGUGGGGGAGGAAGGCCUUCGGGUUGUAAACUCCUUUCGCUAGGGACGAAGCUUUUUGUGACGGUACCUGGAGAAGAAGCACCGGCUAACUACGUG